rnacentral:lncRNA from 1 species
ACAACCCUUUGUUACUGAACAAGACCGGAAGUGAUAUUUCAGCAAAGCAAUGAACUGUGCACCAUUUAAUAUACCUUUCUUAAUUGGGCUGCACACCAGGGGCACCCUCUUAAUGGUAUUAUGGCACCAAUUACCUCAUUAGGAGGAAAGAGCUGCUUUUAUGACAGGUUUUGGAAAUUAAAACAGCAGAGAGAGACAUCUUUCAGGGGGCAUUGCUUCUGGGCAAUGGCCCUGCCCAGCAAUGUGCGUGCGUGGAGUAAGAAGGCCUAGGGAUGGAAGUCAGUCUGUGACACCUGUCUGGUCUGACCCCUCUUGGGCACCAGAUCUGGAGCUCUCGCUGUGUUUUUCCAUUGGGAAUGUGAACCCCACGGCUCAGGCACUUUACCGUGUGCAAAGGCCGCUGGCGAGCCUUUCCGGAAGUUCAGUUUCUAGGGCUGCACCCUGCAAUUCUGCCCCAGGAAGCCUGGGUGGGCUUUCAAUCACACUGCUUUUCUGACAAAGUCCUUAAGCAGCUGCCGCGCAGGAGACUCAAAGAUACCAUUUUCAAUCACUCCUGGAGGGUCCUGAUGACCCCAGCUAACCCCCAGGUGCAUGUGUUGGCUUCUUAAGUCUCCAAGGGUCAGGAUCUUGGCAAAGCCUGGACCAUCUGAGACUCUUUGCUUUGCUUCUCUGAACAUGUUACAGCUCGUUUUCUCAUUCCCUUCUGGAAUGGUUCAAUAGUGGGGGUCAAGCUGGGUGUCACUGUGUCUCCUCAAAUGCUUGCCUGCCUGCCUGCCUCAUCAAUAAAAGAAGAGUGCUACUCUCAGAUGUUAGCUGGGUGAGUAUAGAUGUGGACCGGGUUUCUCUUUCUGGCAGCCUUUCACGGUUUCCUUCCCUGCAGUGGCAAGAACUCCAAUCUCCAGAUUUUGUGCAAACACUGGAUUUAUAGCAAUGGUUUUGUAGAGUGUUCCAGUUUGCCGCGUUGAUGAUUAAUGUGGUUUUCUCAGAGAGCGGCUUGCUUUUCCUGCCAGCCUGGUGGAUUGCAUAAAGGCUGCGCAGUUUCUGCUUUUUUUUACGUCACCCUGUGGAAUUGGGAGAUGGUACUGUAUUGCCCGAGGGGAAGGAGAAGCUUCAGUUGGGAAAUGGCAAACCUGGGCUAAUCUGUAGAGGAUUUCUUAAGAAUUUCAGAGACUGCCCUGAUUCCAAGCCUUUGUUGAUUGUCCACUGCCUGCAGGCUUCUCCGUGUGGCAUCCCCUUCUCCAUCAUCUGGCUUUCGGUAAUCCUGGGUGCUCUCCCCAAGUAACUAGGAGUGCGUGGCUUUAAUUUCCUCUUGUGAUGGUUACUCUUUAAUCCAACCCUGCUCUGUACUUCCAAGCAGCCCGAGACACUUCUCCAAUGGUCUUGUCAUUGCUACAAACUUAAAAUAUCCUCAAGUAUGUCCAAUAACUUAACCCCAAUACUCUCCCCACCGCCAUCCAUCUCAUUUCAAUCUUGGACACUGCUCUAGAGAAUGAAAAAUAACUGGAGAGACCUCAUGUUUUUACCUCAUCUUUCACAAGGACCCAUUGCUUUGAAAUACCCAGAGUUUAAUAGACAUUAAAAGAAAAACAAC